UUGGUUAAAGCCAAAAAGAGGCAUAUCACUGUUAAUGAUACUAUUGGAACUAUAUUUCCUAACCAAG
rnacentral:tRNA from 1 species